rnacentral:rRNA from 1 species
AUGCCCCUUCCUCCUAGGCUCCUCCUUUCUUUGACAUGCAGUAUGGAGCAAGCUCGACCAUUGCGAGUUGUGGAGCCACGCUCCAAGGUUCUGAGUAGCUACCCACGGGCUCUCCCCACGUUGCACCUCCGGGAUUGCAGGGGAGGAGCUGCGUCCAGCCUCCGUCGCUACUACUCCGCUGAGAGAGAAACUACAUCAUUGUUGCUACCAUGUGGAGGUUGUCGACGUUCACCAUGGAACAACGAGGUGUUCGAUGGCCGACGGGCACGCCGGCGAGCUGGUUCCACUUGGGCGCCUCAAAGGCAUGGGUGA